GGAUGGCCCCGAAUUCUUUUGACUUGAGCUAUAGGCAUCAUCACCGUCACCAUCCUAGACCCUUGUAGCAACAAAAACGAGGGUGCUUUUUUUUUUUCUGACACGAGAAAAUGAGCGCCGUUGGAUUAUCUUCACCUUUCACUCCCCCUCUUUCUGAGAUCUGCUUUUUAAACACUGAUUGUAUGAUGGUGGUUGCAUGCAGCCUUUGGCCGGGUUCGUGCGCCUGACACAGACACAGAUCUGGAGACAGAUGGGUUGGCUACUUCCUCCUCCAGUGCUUCUGCAGCCUUUGCCGAGCGGCAGGACGACGAAGCGGAGGAGUUGCUGUGCGGGGUGAAGGAAGAGGAGUCGGCUCAGGUACAAGAACCGGCCAAGAAUCCGGCAGGACGUCCCACCCCACUACCCCAGGAAGGGGUCGAAACAGCGGCCGGCCCCGGCCUUACUUGACCUCGGCAGCACUGGGUUAAUUCCACGGAGCCACGUUUUCUACAAGUUUCGUGAUUGGUGGUGUGGGGUUGAUGAACAAAGGACUUGAAGCAUUACUCAUCCGGUCAGACGUGUUUCGUAGACCUUGACGCUGAGCUAUCGGAGUUGGGUUUCCAAAAAAAGGUGGAGCUCUGAGAGAGUUCCGCAUUCUUCUAAAGGAAGUAGGAGAUACCCAGGAAGCAGCAUGGCAUUUUCUUACAGCAAUGGGAGGACAUUGCCCUCGAAAUGGGAGGAUGCAGAGAGGUGGAUCUUCAGUCCCAAUUCCAGCGACAUGCGUGGAAGAACUACGGUUGCUCAUGGUCGGAGGCCAAAGUCUAAAAGUGGCCCCCUGGGGCCUCCAGGAAGACUUGGUGGACAGUAUUCAUCUGUUUCUUCGGUGUCAUUGCUUGAUAGUGAGAGAGUUGGACCUAUUACAUCAAAUUCUCAUUUUUCAGCAGGAGUACUAAUGCCAGGACAUGUUUGUGGAGGAAAAAAUACAAAUGGGGCCUAUUCAGGUAGACCAAUUGGUGACGAAAUCAACAUUGGAGAAGGAGUCAGAAUUUGUCCACUGAAUGGUGGGUCUCAUCCUAUUCGAACUCCCAGAGUUCGCAAGCGAUUAGAUUCUGCAGUCGAAUCAUCUGCUUCAUUGCCUAGCACACAAGAAUCUAUCCAAGACGAGCAGGUUGAAAUCACAGAAGAUUCAGCUUCAACUAUUGCCUGUAUAAUUUCCAGGAAAGAUGUUGCAACACAGACCAGCCCAGAGCUAAGUAGGUCCUCUUCACCCAACAAUAGACCAACAUUUAAUCGUUCCCUGUCGACGGAACAAAUGAAAGAGAGGGGGAGCUGUUUCUCAGAUCUUGAUAUCAGGGAUGUUCAGAUGGAUGAUCGAGUGACUCUGACUAGGUGGUCAAAGCAAAAUGUAACACGGUUGCCUAACAAGAAUUCAACAAACAUAAUAGAGUGGAAGGAAAAAGCUGUGGAAUCAAAAUCUUUGUCCUGGGGCUUUGCCGAAGCGAAGUGCAUAUCCAAGAUUGGUAGAGAGGACACAAAAAUUACUGCAUGGGAAAGUAUUCAAAAAGCAAAAGCUGAGGCAGCAAUUCAGAAGUUAAUGAUUAAGAUGGAGAAGAAAGGAUCAUCUUCGCUGGAUAAGAUUUUGAACACCCUCAAGUCUGCUCAGAGAAAAGCCCAGGUGAUGCUUGAGCAUGAGCUUGAUGCAGUAACAGCAAACCAAGAUGGAAAAGGCUCUAGGAAGGCAAAAAAGGGAGCACAGCGUAGCAAGAAUGGCCAAAUCAGUUCCCUGAGUGGCUGCUUCACUUGCCAUGCUUUUUGAUACAUGUAAUUCCAAAACUGAAUUGUGCUAGAAGUGCUCUAUUGAUGUAUACAUAAUUUUUAUAAUUAUUCCCACAUAAAGCACCCAAUUUUUCGUAUGUGGAACUUUCUGUACGACAAUAUAUCCAGGUCUUUAGGUUGUAAAAUUACGUUCGAUAAUAUACUUUCAUCUAUCGAUGACUUGACCGAAUCAGGAUCUGAGAAAUUCCUUCGUACUGCCUACAUCACCGUCAUGUUCUCCACAUCGAAAUCUAGGUGAACUUCAGAUAUCUAUCAGAUGUCAGUACAUAAUACGAUAAUCCCACAGCUGGAAAUCAGACUCGGAUCUUUCCAAGAUGCUAGCUGCAGGCUCUUCAUCUGCCAUGAUAGGGAUAAUGCAAUAUCUGCAGUGCCGCUCUGUGUUAGUUUCGAUUCUGCCAAUGAGACAGAGAAAAUGGAGCACGAAGGAAAAGGAGGAACGGUUCUGCGUACACCUCAUGUGCCCGGUUGAUGUCUCCUUUAUCAUUGUGUCAUUACCUGGCCUGCCUUGUAGCUAGGCACUGCUGAUGUCGAUCUUGUUGCCAAAAAGGCUGUAUGGAUCAUACAUUCACACAAAGUGCAAUUCCAUUCCAAGAUACAGCGAAAUCUUCAGGUACGAGGAGAAAGCAUGGCCUGCUUGUGCGUGUGACUAGUUGGGCACCCUGCUGGGUACUGGAAUGGAACCACGCUCCCUUGUUGCUUUUGUUUGGUACAGUGCUGGUUGUUGCUACCUAUAUUUGCUUUACAGCAGCGUCGGUGUGUAGCUCUUUUAGGAAACUGAGAUGUUGGUUUGGCCUGGAAACUUAACAAUAUCGUCACACACAUAUAUGUACAUAUGGGGAUGAAGAUAUGAUCGUCAGUAUGCCAUCCUUUAAAAAAAAAGAUUCUCAUUUUACGGCA